CGGAGUGUAGCGCAGUCUGGUAGCGCAUCUGCUUUGGGAGCAGAUGGUCGCAGGCUCAAAUCCUGCCACUCCGACCA
rnacentral:tRNA from 1 species